GGAAGACAGAGGGAGACACUGCCAGCCGCUGCCAUGACAAGAAGCAUGUGAAGACAUGGACUUACUGUCACUGUGACAGCUACGUGAAAGGAAAAAUUAACAGGAAGAAAAACAUCUUGUGGUUUCUGCUUCCCGAGGAUCUAGUCAGCCAUGGAUAAGAAGAUGUGGUAAAUCUCAGCUUGUGAAGUUGAGGGAGCAGAAUGCCUGUACUGACACGAUGUGGCCAACAACUUCAAGAUUUUGCCACCUUGGCUUCCCCAAAAUCCUGGAAUAUAUCUCAAACUGUGGGGCAAAUGGUUGAAAAUGUCCAAAAUUCUUACCUUGUGCUUCAUGAGAAAUUUAAUUAUCAAAUUCUUUAAAUCAGCAUAAAAAUGCUGUCCAGUCAUGGGAAGAAUACUCUAAGGUUCAGAAAAUGAGAGUCAUCAGAGACCUAAGAGAGAAAAACAACAGGAUAGUCCUAGGCAGACACCAGAAGAGCACACAGAGAGCUGCCACUUUGUUUUUCUUCCUCUCAUGAAGUUCUAGAGCAGAAAUGAACUUUGAGAAAAUUGCACAAGGUUAAGUCACAUAGAUCCUAGGGGUCGUCUUGUACUCACAACUGUAACUACUGCUUUAGAGACAAAGUCUGACUGUGUCACCCGUACUGUCCUUGAACUUGUGAUCUCACUGUCUCAGUGAUUCCUGAGUGUCAUUACACUUUUUAUUCCACCAUUUUCAUUCACAGAUGGCUUACAAGCACUUCAAUAAUGUGUUGUGAACCAAUAACACAUAUGCAUACUGGUACAUAAUGGUGGUCAGAACAAAGCAUUUUAUGUAUUUGGAAUGUGUGUAAUAGAGGAAUAAAGACCCAUUAACAUGCAAAGCAGUGGUUCGUAGGUGUGAAUGUGGCUACUGGCACUGGGUGAGUGGGGAGAGGACAAUAGGGAGGGACUAGCCAACACCCACUAUUGCUUCUUUUCUCCACUCUUUUCUUGAGAUAAUAACUACAAAGAAGAGUGCUUUUCUAUCUUAUCGCUAAACACAUUCAGUUAUAUUCACUGCAGUUUCAAAUAUGUUACAACCCAGACACCAUAAACUGGCAUACAUUUGUCUUUCUUCUGUUAUCUGCAUAUGACUUUAAGGAAAGAGCCCUCUUCAGAGUGUAUUAAUCUCUCAAAUUUAUUUUAACAGCUGGUGAUUCUAACUGAUUUUAAUUGGCACAAGAGAAACAUUAAAGUAUAAAUUUUUCCUGGAAUUAUUUAAUAGAGAAUACUUGAUGGAAAAAAAGAAAUACUUUGAACUCUCUGUCCUGGUCUACAUCUUAUGUUAUAUUGAGC